UACGGGAGGCAGCAGUAGGGAAUCUUCCGCAAUGGACGAAAGUCUGACGGAGCAACGCCGCGUGAACGAUGAAGGCUUUCGGGUCGUAAAGUUCUGUUGUUAGGGAAGAACAAGUACCAGAGUAACUGCUGGUACCUUGACGGUACCUAACCAGAAAGCCACGGCUAACUACGUGCCAGCAGCCGCGGUAAUACGUAGGUGGCAAGCGUUGUCCGGAAUUAUUGGGCGUAAAGCGCGCGCAGGUGGUUCCUUAAGUCUGAUGUGAAAGCCUACGGCUCAACCGUGGAGGGUCAUUGGAAACUGGGGACUUGAGUGCAGAAGAGGAAAGUGGAAUUCCACGUGUAGCGGUGAAAUGCGUAGAGAUGUGGAGGAACACCAGUGGCGAAGGCGACUUUUCUGGUCUGUAACUGACACUGAGGCGCGAAAGCGUGGGGAGCGAACAGGGAUUAGAUAC
rnacentral:rRNA from 1 species